rnacentral:tRNA from 1 species
GGGCGUAGUUCAAUGGUAGAACGGCGGUCUCCAAAACCGUUAAUGCGGGUUCGACUCCUGCCGCCC